UGUGACAGAAUAGUGUGAUAAAUUUAAGAUUUAUUUAUAAAGAUACCUUUCUUUAGAA
rnacentral:tRNA from 2 species